ACACACAAAGAUCAGUUCAUACAAGAUGGCCAGGGAUAAAGACAGAGACAUGGAAAAGCCUCAUCUACACCUUUCUGUCAUCAGAUCCGUCACCUGGCUGCUUCUGGUUCUGCUUCAGACAUCCACAGCUCAAAGCUGUGAUGUUCAGAGUCGAGUAAACUUUGCAGAAAACAACGCAGUUGGUGAUGUUGUGACAACUAUCCAACUCGCACUUGGAGAAACAGUUGAAAUGACAAGCACAGGCCUACCGUUUGGGAUUCAAGGAAACCAGCUCAUAGCUACUCAAGUGUUGGACCACGAGGAGGCACAAAACUAUGCAGUCACUAUAAGUUGCAAAGGAGCAAGCGGAACGGU